CCAGCCUUGGAAAUCUAUAUGACAUAAACUUUUGCCAAAAAAAUCAAUCUUGAGUUAUGAUUUGAUUAGCAGAAAAUUGCUAUCACAUUUGUUUCUACAUUUGUCUACCUCAUGUCCUUUUCAUUCAUAGGCUGGCUGAUUCAAACCUUCUUUAAAAACUCCCCGAGAAAGUCUGUGACAUUAAAAUGUCCUUUGAUGCUCUUUCGCUAAGCAGUGAAUAUUAACAGUUAUGGUGACCCUGUUCCCUAAUGUGUCUCAGCAGGAUCAAUAGCAGUUAAGUGCCACUGUUUUACAAUUAAAAAGGGGAUCAUUUUAAAUUUAAAAGCUCGUAGCUAAUUUUCUUCUUGGCACUUAAUGGCAUAAUUCAUUUUUGAAAAACCUCAUUGGGAGAACAUAGACUUUUUUUUUUUUUUUUUGGUGGCAGCACAGGAAGAGGCUAGUUUCGCACCCCUUGUUGCCUCUGACAUGAUUUGUAGUGUUCCUUCAUUAAGCUGUCAGCAGGGCAUCCGUAAAAUUCUCUCCAAAAUAGGGACCCGGAUGGAGAGCAUGAGCAAGCAUGGCGAUUCUCUGUAAAACUGUUCAGCAGCCAGUUUUCUUGGAACUUUCUUUCUGAAUGCUGCUGUUUUCAGCCAAUCUUGCAUUUUUGUUCACAAUUUUUUCCUCAUUUUCACUAUUCUUUUUGGCGACUGCCUCCUGUUCCCUAUUAGGAACCUAGGCACAUGACAGGUGGUUCAGAGCAGUGCAUACAUAUUUCCAACAUGUAAUUGGCCAACAUUAUGCUGGAAAUGUCAUUCUGAUUCUACCUCAUUGACAUUGCAGAGAGCCUCAGCUUCUUUCCAC
rnacentral:lncRNA from 10 species